ACUCCUACGGGAGGCAGCAGUGGGGAAUAUUGCACAAUGGGCGCAAGCCUGAUGCAGCAACGCCGUGUGAGUGAAGAAGGUUUUCGGAUCGUAAAACUCUGUCCUAAGGGAAGAAACAAAUGACGGUACCUUAGGAGGAAGCCCCGGCUAACUACGUGCCAGCAGCCGCGGUAAUACGUAGGGGGCAAGCGUUAUCCGGAAUCACUGGGCGUAAAGGGUGCGUAGGCGGCUUAGCAAAGCCAGGGGUGAAAGGCAUUGGCUCAACCAAUGUAAGCCUUUGGAACUGUUAAGCUUGAGUGCAGGAGAGGUAAGUGGAAUUCCUAGUGUAGAGGUGAAAUUCGUAGAUAUUAGGAGGAACACCAAGUGGCGAAGGCGACUUACUGGACUGUAACUGACGCUGAUGCACGAAAAGCGUGGGUAGCGAACAGGAUUAGAUACCCUGGUAACACAGAG
rnacentral:rRNA from 1 species